UCGUCAGUGCGGUACAUCCUGACCUGCCCCGCUUUGCGGGCAGCACGUGAUGAGCGCGGCGUGAUGACGUAUGAUUACGUGCCGCUGCGAGGGGCGGCGGUGGGCGAAUAGCAACAACCCGCAGCCCCCGCGGAGUCUCUGAG